rnacentral:rRNA from 1 species
CCUACGGGUGGCAGCAGUGGGGAAUAUUGGGCAAUGGGCGCAAGCCUGACCCAGCAACGCCGCGUGAAGGAAGAAGGCUUUCGGGUUGUAAACUUCUUUUUAGAGGGAAGCGCAGAAGACGGUACCUCUUGUAUAAGCCACGGCUUACUACGUGCCAGCAGCCGCGGUAAUACGUAGGUGGCAAGCGUUUUCCGGAUUUACUGGGUGUAACGGGCGUGUAGCCGGGCUGACAAGUCAGAUGUGAAAUCCGGGAGCUCAACCCCCGAACUGCAUUUGAAACUGUUGGUCUUGAGUAUCGGAGAAGCAGGCGGAAUGCGUGGUGUAGCGGUGAAAUGCGUAGAUAUCAGGAAGAACACCAGUUGCGAAGGCGGCCUGCCGGACGACAACUGACGGUGAGGCGCGAAAGCGUGGGGAGCGAACAGGAUUAGAUACCCCUGUAGUC